rnacentral:rRNA from 1 species
CAGCCGCCGCGGGAAAACGUAGGGUGCAAGCGUUGUCCGGAAUUAUUGGGCGUAAAGAGCUCGUAGGCGGUUUGUCGCGUCUGCUGUGAAAUCUGGGGGCUCAACCCCCAGCCUGCAGUGGGUACGGGCAGACUAGAGUGCGGUAGGGGAGAUUGGAAUUCCUGGUGUAGCGGUGGAAUGCGCAGAUAUCAGGAGGAACACCGAUGGCGAAGGCAGAUCUCUGGGCCGUAACUGACGCUGAGGAGCGAAAGCAUGGGGAGCGAACAGGAUUAGAUACCCCCGUAGUCCCUGUCUCUUAUAC